rnacentral:rRNA from 1 species
AUUCCAGCUCCAAUAGCGUAUAUUAAAGUUGUUGCAGUUAAAAAGCUCGUAGUUGGAUUUCUGGCAGGGGGCAACAGCCCGCUUGCAGCGUGUGCUUGCCGUCCCCUACCAUCCUUCUGUUAACGCGCCAGGACAUUCACUUGUCGGGCGCGGGCUCAGAUAAUUUACCUUGAGAAAAUUAGAGUGUUUCAGGCAGGCUGACGCCGGGAUACAUUAGCAUGGAAUAAUGGAAUAGGACUUUCGCCUCUUCUGUUGGUCUGAGGGGUGAUCGUAAUGAUUAAUAGGGAUAGUUGGGGGCAUUAGUACUUAACUGUCAGAGGUGAAAUUCUCGGAUUUGUUAAAGACUAACUUAUGCGAAAGCAUUUGCCAAGGAUGUUUUCAUUG